GACGAACGCUGGCGGCGUGCUUAACACAUGCAAGUCGAGCGGUAAGGCUCCUUCGGGAGUACACGAGCGGCGAACGGGUGAGUAACACGUGAGCAAUCUGCCCUUCACUUCGGGAUAACUCCGGGAAACCGGAGCUAAUACCGAAUACGACCACUUCCGGCAUCUGAUGGUGGUGGAAAGUUCCGGCGGUGAAGGAUGAGCUCGCGGCCUAUCAGCUUGUUGGUGGGGUAACGGCCAACCAAGGCAACGACGGGUAGUCGGCCUGAGAGGGUGACCGGCCACACUGGGACGGAGACACGGCCCAGACUCCUACGGGAGGCAGCAGUGGGGAAUAUUGGACAAUGGGCGAAAGCCUGAUCCAGCAACGCCGCGUGAGGGAUGACUGCCUUCGGGUUGUAAACCUCUUUCAGCAGGGACGAAGCGCAAGUGACGGUACCUGCAGAAGAAGCACCGGCCAACUACGUGCCAGCAGCCGCAGUAAUAC
rnacentral:rRNA from 1 species